rnacentral:lncRNA from 1 species
GAGCAGUGCAGCAGAUGAACAGGCCUGACUGUGUGGUUGACUGAGAAGUGCAGCAGAUGAACAGGAUAUAGGUUGUAAUACAGACAACUGGGAGGACAAAUACAGACUGUCUUGUCUGUUUGAAUCCAUCUCAUUUAGUUUGUGUUAUAUCUGACUGUGUUUUCUCACCAGGUUACGCUCUGGGUAAAUCCUGCUUCUUGCGCUUCAACCAUCCAGAGGAGGCCAGCCAUAUGAACAGCAUGCUGCCUCUGAAGACCCCUGUCUCACCCCUGGGCUACAGCACAGAGUGUUUUCAGAUCAGCGAUGAUGGAGGGGAAAUUGAACCGUCAGGGGAAUUGAGGAAAUUCCUGACCGCUUACAGUAU